UACGUACUCCCUCCGUCCCAAAAUUCUUGUCUUAGAUUUGUCUAAAUACGGAUGUAUCAAGUCACGUUUUAGUAUUAGAUACACCCGUAUCUAGACAAAUCUAAGACAAGAAUUUUGGGACGGAGGGAGUAUUUA
rnacentral:pre_miRNA from 1 species